GACGAACGCUGGCGGCGUGCUUAACACAUGCAAGUCGAACGGAAAGGCCCUGCUUUUGUGGGGUGCUCGAGUGGCGAACGGGUGAGUAACACGUGAGUAACCUGCCCUUGACUUUGGGAUAACUUCAGGAAACUGGGGCUAAUACCGGAUAGGAGCUCCUGCUGCAUGGUGGGGGUUGGAAAUUUUCGGCGGUUGGGGAUGGACUCGCGGCUUAUCAGCUUGUUGGUGGGGUAGUGGCUUACCAAGGCUUUGACGGGUAGCCGGCAGGAGAGGGUGACCGGGCACAUUGGGACUGAGAUACGGCCCAGUGUCCUACAGGAGGCAGCAGUGGGGAAUAUUGUCCAAUCGGAGGACGUCUGAUGAAGCAACGUCGCGUUCGGGAUGACGGCCUUUUGGUUGUAAACCGCUUCCGCCUGUGACGAAGCGUUAGUGACGGUAAUGGGUAAAGAAGCACCGGCUAACUACGUG
rnacentral:rRNA from 1 species